rnacentral:rRNA from 1 species
UACAGAGGAUGCAAGCGUUAUCCGGAAUGAUUGGGCGUAAAGCGUCUGUAGGUGGCUUUUUAAGUCCGCCGUCAAAUCCCAGGGCUCAACUCUGGACAGGCGGUGGAAACUACCAAGCUGGAGUACGGUAGGGGCAGAGGGAAUUUCCGGUGGAGCGGUGAAAUGCGCAGAUAUCAGGAGGAACACCCGUAGCGAAGGCGGCACUCUGGGCCGAUUCUGACACUGAGGAGCGAAAGCGUGGGGAGCGAACAGG